GUCCCUUUAGCUCAGUGGGAGAGCAACCGGCUCAUAACCGGUGGGUCGCUGGUUCGAAACCAGCAAGGGGCACCA
rnacentral:tRNA from 2 species